rnacentral:rRNA from 1 species
ACAUGUGGCCAUACCAGUCUGAAAGUGCCUGAUCUCAUCAGAUCUCAGAAGCCAUCCGUACUCGUUCCUGGUUAGUAGUUGUAUGGGAGACAAACUAGGAACCUCAAGUGCCGUAAGUU